rnacentral:rRNA from 1 species
GAUGAACGCUGGCGGCGUGCCUAAUACAUGCAAGUCGAGCGAACGGACGAGAAGCUUGCUUCCCUGCUGUUAGCGACUGACGGGUGAGUAACACGUGGAUAACCUACCUAUAAGACUGGGAUAACUUCGGGAACCCGGAGCUAAUACCGGAUGAUAUUUUGAACCGCAUGGUUCAAAAGUGAAUGACGGUUUUGCUGUCACUUAUAGAUGGAUUCGUGGUGCAUUAGCUAGUUGGUAAGGUAACGGCUUACCAAGGCAACGAUGCAUAGCCGACCUGAGAGGGUGAUCGGCCACACUGGAACUGAGACACGGUCCAGACUCCUACGGGAGGCAGCAGUAGGGAAUCUUCCGCAAUGGGCGAAAGCCUGACCGAGCAACGCCGCGUGAGUGAUGAAGGUCUUCGGAUCGUAAAACUCUGUUAUUAGGGAAGAACAUAUGUUUAAGUAACUGUUCACAUCUUGACGGUACCUAAUCAGAAAGCCACGGCUAACUACGUG